AAACCCCCUCGCCGAAAGACUAAGGUUUCCUGAUCAACGCUAAUCGGAUCAGGGUAAGUCGGGUCCUAAGGCUCAGCCGAAGGGCGAUGCCGAUGGCAGAAACGGUUAAUAUUCCGUUACUACCUCCAGGAGUGAUGUGGAGACGCAGUAGUGACAAUGCCGCCAUCUGACGGAAUAGAUGGUUGAAGGGUGUAGAUGUUGAUCUUGGCAGGCAAAUCCACCAUGAGAAUCGAACCUGAUAGUAUGCCGCGUCCCUCGGGACAAGGCAAUAGUGCAUGUAAUCAUGCUGCCAAGAAAAUCCGCUAAACAAAAUCCUGUAGGUACCCGUACCGUAAACGGACACACGUAGUCGGGAUGAAUAUUCUAAGGCGCUUGAGUGAUUCACGGUUAAGGAACUAGGCAAACUGACCCUGUAACUUCGGGAUAAAGGGUCCCUACCCGGUGACGGGAGGGCGCAGAGAAUAGGUCCAGGCAACUGUUUAACAAAAACACAGGGCUGUGCUAAAUCGAAAGAUCCUGUAUACAGCCUGACACCUGCCCGGUGCUGGAAGGUUAAGAGGAGACGUCAUCGUUGAGAGAAGCGUUGAAUUGAAGCCCCAGUAAACGGCGGCCGUAACUAUAACGGUCCUAAGGUAGCGAAAUUCCUUGUCGGGUAAGUUCCGACCUGCACGAAUGGUGUAAUGAUCUGGACGCUGUCUCAACCGUGAGCUCAGUGAAAUUGUAGUAUCGGUGAAGAUGCCGAUUACCCGCGAUGGGACGAAAAGACCCCGUGAACCUUUACUAUAGCUUAUCAUUGAAUCUGGGCACGUGAUGUGUAGGAUAGGUCGGAGGCUUUGAAGGGGGUACGCCAGUAUCCUUGGAGCCGCUGUUGAAAUACGACCCUUCAUUUGUUUGGAUUCUAACCCGUGUAUAUGGGGACACUGAUUGGUGGGUAGUUUGACUGGGGUGGUCGCCUCCAAAAGCGUAACGGAGGCUUCUAAAGGUGCCCUCACGGCGAUUGGUAACCGCCGUUAGAGUGUAAUGGCAUAAGGGCGCUUGACUGGGAGACUGACAAGUCGAUCAGGUAGGAAACUAGAGCAUAGUGAUCCGGUGUUUCCGUAUGGAAGGGACAUCGCUCAAAGGAUAAAAGGUACUCCGGGGAUAACAGGCUGAUC
rnacentral:rRNA from 1 species